GCAACGAGCGGGGCAGUGUAGCUGCGUGACCGCUCGAAUGGAUCGAAUAUAAUUUGCACUGCCUCAUCUUCGAUCUACACCGCAUCGAGUACCCUGCAGCAAGUCUACAUGAGGACGAAGCGCCAAUUGGAUCUGUCACAGUUGUGUGUUACACUGCAUUUUGUGACCUGUCUAUACCUACAUUGUAUGAGCUGCUUCUUUUUACACCGUUCACAUGGGCAUGUUAUUACGGUUUACACGUGCCUAUCUGCAACUAGAUUUGGUUUGGUUUACAUUGCAGUAGCAAUGAUCUACAUAAUAUAAUAUCUGAUAGAUUUAAACGUAUACUUUCAACACUACUAUGAUGAAGUAGCGGUACAGGAUGUGUCCAUAGACAUGACUCGGGACGACGUGAGUUGAUCUCCCCACGGCCCCUAAAUGGCUAAUGCACCUUUAGGGUCCGUUCGUUUACAUGCGAACAAGGCAAACGGAGAACAAAUCACAUAUGCGCUAGGUUUAUCUACUGAAAUUUCAUACCACUAAAUUGAACAACACAUCCUUUAAAAGAAGAUUGUACAACACAUCUGUUUCAAAAAAUUAGAUAAAAAUUUUGUACAACACUUGGAAGUAAUGAAUACAUCUCUUAAACUUAAGCUGUUAGCUCAUGUACACCCCAUUGGCACAAACAAAGCUAGCUUUUGGAUAACCACGACGGCGUCAUUCGUGAUAAUAAGUUUUUACGCGUACGGCUUCCCCAGAUGUGAACCAGUUCCCACUCAUCCGUGGGGUCUGUACAGCUAGCGUUACCUUUGGAGAGAUCGACCGGGCGGAGAAGGUUUCUAUGUUUGCAGAAGGUUGAAUAUUCGGCCAUUCUCACUGUUUUCUUGUCCUUGACGCUAAUCCUGACCAAGAAUGCCUUGUUUUGUGCCGACAAUGUGAGGUAAAGGAUGCUGCUAUUGUGCGUGCCCAGAACAGGGAAGCACGGUGGCUUGACCUUCCAUUGUGGCAGUGAUGAUUCCGGAGGAAACUUAUCCUUGAAGGUCUCCCGUAGUUUUUCGUACUUGUAGGUGCCUUCCAUACUCCAGGCCCAGCCAUCGUUGUUCCUAGUUGUACGACCCAGCUUCCAGGUCUCGACCUCUAAAGAAUUGCCAUCAGGGCAAUGGAGGUUUACAAGCUUAAUAAACUUACCUUGGCAGCAGGCAACACUCCGGAAUGGUUCCGGUCGCUCCCUUCUGUGGUGGGCGUCCUUGAUUGGCUUUUCUGGGGAGAGACGAGGAAGUGGCACAUACUGGAACUUCGGAGGUUCAUGGUCCUCACUGGAGCAACCGGGGAGAAGAAGGUUGGAGCAGCGUAGGAUGCCUCGCCAGAGAUCGAACCACAGUAGGGAAUUCCCCAAGGAGACCACCUGGUCCGUUCGCCACUCGCACAUGUACUCACCCUUCUUGUCCUCGGGAAACGGCAGGUCAACUUUCUGUUGGUUCCACUUGUCCCUCAAGUAAGGCGACCACCGGUCGAGGUGCGCUUCCAUCUUCUCAGUAUUUUCAUCCAACUCUAUUCGAAGGUUAGCCACAAGAAAUUUGUCGCGGCUGUUGUUGCUGCUCCCAUCGACGAUGCGCAGGAGGCCAACGGAGCCGCCGGAGCAGUAAAUCCCUUGGGGAAGCCGCUGGGCCACCUUCUGAUCAUCAUCGGCGAUGUCGCAUACAAAGUAGUCCGUCGGGACUCCUCUGUCGGGAGUACGUAGACGGAGGAGGGCGAGGCCCUCGUCGACGCCUACCACCUCUAGGAAGGAUGGAAUGGCGUCUCCACCAUAGGGGUCCGGCGUGUCUGGGCAGAUCGCGCCCAGCAACAAGAUGCCCUUGCUCGUGGUGUGUUCCUCUAGCCAGAAAGACACCUUCUUGCCCGCGCUUGUCGUGGCCGUCUUGAUGGAGCGGCGGUCUGGGGGGUGCUUGGCGACGCCCAGGGGAUCAAGCAUCAGGCAAGGGCCACUAGGCGCCAUAUAUAUGCAUGUGUUGGCAGAAAUCAAGAGGACGGAAAAGAUGAAUCUGCUGCCCGGCAGCCUACAAGAACAGCAGCAAGGCACUCUCGACUUCUCAAUGCAAUUGUGGGAGCGAGCGUUGUUGGUGGCUCUCUUCCCUUUGCACCUGUGAAGUUUCUUAUAAUGCUGUGUGAACGAUAAGCUGUUUAUUAAUAUGGAGGUGGAGGAAAGAGAGGGAGACGAGGGAAAGAAUGAUAUGGUUGCUUAAGAAGAACGACGACUACUUCCUUCAAAAAAAAAGGAAGAACAACUACAUACAGGACAAGAUAGCUGUAAACGCAAUCGCUAGAUAAAAUAAUCCUUCUUCUUAAUAUAAUGAUACGUAACUCUUCUAUAUGUUUGAGAAAAAAAAUACUAGACAAAAACAUUAACUAUGGGGUAGACCCACGUUGACGCCAGCGAGGCCCCAACCCCCACUCAAACCUUUCGCAGUGGUAGUUUGAAAUUUCUCGCCCUGUAUACGCGUCUAUUUUUUAUGGUUAUGCAUGUAUAGUAUGCUCCACUUACAUUUUUUUCCAAGUUCCGCCCCUUGCUUCAGCUGGCAGAUUUAUUUCUCACCCACCCUUGGAUUUUGAAAUCACUGCGGUAAACAUUCAGUUAUUUGUUUUGAAUGGUCACGGGGGAGAGCAUCCCAUUGUAUUGAAACGGUGUGUCCGACCACAUAUCAACGGCCUCAGUUUUAGGGAAAAUGAGACAACCUUAUUACAACGCUCGGUUAAUUUAGGAAAAUCGGGCUAAAACCAUAAAAUCCACCUAGCUAAACUAGGCCUCAUACGACACACCACGCAAACUAUGGUAUAACCACGGAUAAUGACACCAUGUCCUAACACAAGUAUGAAAUUAUAGCUUAACCGCGAAUAACACUACCACACUAAACACAAGCUCCAACUUCUAGCAUGAACCACAGCGCCGCAUCAUCGGCAACUCCAUGAGCUUGGUGCCUGAGAUUCACCUUGAGGGCCUAGCACCACACACAAGUUCAAGAUGCACUAGUACAUAAAGCGUCUUUGGUCCUUAUUUGUCCCGAUCGCCGUUGGGCCUGGGACCAAUAAAAGCUUUAGUCCCGGAUCUAACAGCUAGGGGUCUGGAGGAACGUUUAGUCUUGGUUGGAGAAAAGUUCAAAACUUUUAAUCCCGGUUGGUAAUAUCAACUGGAACUAAAGAGUCACCAUUUACCAAUCGAGACUAAAGGACCUUUUAGUCCCGGUUGGUGCUAUCAACCGGGACUAAAGGUAGUUUCAUGGGUCGUUUUAAAAGAAAAGCAUCCCAAGUAGAGUCACAUGUGCUGUAUAGGUGGGUUAACAAGAAAGCUAUGCGCGAGACAAUAGGUCGUGGGUUCGAAUCCUGAAUGCGGAGUAAUUUUUUUGCAUUUGUACAGGGCCUUUAGUCCCGGGUGUGGGAACCGGGACUAAUGGUCCGGGUCUUUAGUCCCGGAUUUAUAGUCCCGGUUCCAUAACCAGGACUAAAGGCCUUUUCUGUACUAGUGAUGCCUAUCUCUGAAGUAAUGCCUCUAACGAGGACUUGACAUCGAGACGUCAACAUUGCUCGAUCCGGCAGAGCCGGAUCUUAGUUUUCACCUAGAGAAAGGUUGUUAGAGAUUCUUCGACGAUGCCUCCAAUGAGAGGUGUGAUAUCUGGGGAUGCUACCACCGGCGGCCAUAGCUUAAGCUAGACAGAGCUUUUGCUCACAACCUGCACCAAGAUGGGCAUAUAGAGGUGACUCACACAUGGCCAAGCUAGCACCAAGACACCCAGAACCACCACCGAUUGCACCACCACUCCAUCAGCACGAUGCCACGGAUCGUGUCAGGUCCCCUCCGCAGCCAGGCGUAGGGAAGGUAGGCCCGCCGAGCUAGUGGGCCCUGCCACGAACCCGGUGGCCGCCGAACCCAGGCGCCCGACCUCUCGACCAGCGAGGAGGAGGGAACCUGCCAACUUGGCGAGAGGCCCGCCCCCGGUGCAUCAGGGGGAUGGGGCAGGAGGAGAACGAUGCCAUCCCCUAACACGGGGAUAGAGGAUGUGACCAAGGACGUGUUAGGCGGCUCCGCGGACCAGACGAACGGGACUUGACUUCGGCAGGCGGCAGAGCACGAAUGGACGCAGGCCCCGGUAGGACACGUGUCGGGCAACCGACCCCGGGAAAAAAAGGCACCACCCCUCUCUCACGCAAGGUAGCCCAUCCCGCCACGUAUAUAAGGCGGAGCUAGGCCUUCUCUAGGAAGGAUGAUGCGAUCAUACAUCACACACACACCAUUUGCAUUUGAACGUGACGAACACGAAGCGAGCCACCCCAUACUGGAUGUAGGGCUUUUGCCUGAACCAGUCUAAAUCCUUGCCUUCGAUUGUUAGCCACCGAGCCAUCGAGAAGCGCGGCGUAAAUUACUGGCUGGUGAUCAAAACAUCGACAAAUAAGUAUAUAUCAUAUGCAAUAUUAAAGUUAUAUACUAUAUAUAUAAGGUUAUAUAUAUGAAGCGAUGUAGAUCUUGCGCUUCUAAUCUUUCUAAAAUUGCGUAAAUUCUUCUGUAACAACAAAAGUUAAGAUAUAAGGCUGUUCGGCAUAGCUCUAGAUCUAUUUUUUUUGGAGUUAAAGCCAUGUGUAUAUUGAAGGUAGUUUUGAGCAAUUUUAUUUUCGGAGUUUGAAUUAACACAUAUGUUCCCACCACUCUAUAUAUUUAUCAUACAUCCUAAUAUAUAUAUAUAUGACGAGUUUUAUCUACGCUCGUGUGUAGCUAGUCUCACCAUCAGUAUACCAUCGUACGUAUGUUUACAUACUCAUUUAUCACUUUGAGUAUGUUUAUAUACUUAUUUUGGUACUUCAAAUGGAUAUAUACGAAAAAUUUCAAAAGCAUCUGUCAGACCUGGGGCCACGGGACCGUGUACAUAAUGUAGUUUAAAGAGGUUUAAGAGAUUAAGUCCGUCUUAUCUCUUAUUUAUCUUGUUUAUCUCUUAUUUAUCCCGUUUAAGUAGGAGAUAGAGCUAACCGAUACAGGAGGAAUCUACUCGAGAUAUGUUCUGGUACGAUUCCUUAGCUGGUGUUGGUCAGUAUCUUUAUAACCCUAACCUCUCGGAUAUAUAAGGGAGGAUAGGGACCCCUCUCAAAACACGAUCUCUAGAUCAUUCUACACCUAAGGCAAUACAAACCACCCCACAGGACAUAGGGUGUUACGCACCUAGCGGCCCGAACCUGUCUAAGCUUUUUGUUCCUUGUUCCUUCGAGUUCCUGAUCUCGGCGUCUCCUCACCCAAAACUUACCACGUUGGGUAUACCCCUCGGUGGGCAGCCGGUUAAACACCGACAGCUGGCGUGCCAGGUAGGGGAGCGCGUCGAAGAUCCACCGGCGAGCUCGAUGGCAUCUUUCAAAUUCUCCAGGUUAGUUCCCUCUCAGGGCACGACAUUUGUUUUUGGCUCGUGGGUCUGCAUCGCAGAUGGUGUGGGCGAUUUCCGGCGAUUCCUCAUCGGCAUGAAGCCAAAGACUUCCGCUGCGGAUCCCCGCAGCGACCUCGACAAGUUCGUCGACAAUCUCGAUGGUUUGUCGACCCAUGCUUCUGCAACAAAGAUCGAGAUGGAGUCUGCUCCAGGCUCGACUUCAUCCAGCGUUGCGGCAACUUCCCUUGGGUUGGACUCAUUCCAAUCUAAGGAUUCGCGUAACCGAUCCCGACUCGGUUCAUGCAAUCCGGCCACUGAUCUCCAGGAGGCCAACGUCUCUGGGUCCCUCUCCACGCUAGAGAAGGACCUGGACUCUCUGCUCCAGGUUGGAAGGCCUGAAGCCACUGCGUGUCUGGGGACUUCGGGUUGUUUUGGCGCCAGUGAUCUGAUGAUCACCUCCAUGCCGGAGGGGCGCAUUGUGCAUUGGAGGGGCAUGGCGCUCUCCAAUCUACUCGAGGCUGAGGGUCGACUUGUGCCCAUCUCGAGCCUUUGCCCUUUCAGGAGGGCAGGCCGCUAGCCACCGUGGCGGAGGGGUCGACUGAACUAGUCGACGCGAGCUCUGACGAGCUCCCCUCCCGCCAGGUGCUAAUGGUGGAAGAAGGCGAGGAUGAUGGUGGUUUUCCCGUCGCCGAUUUUGAAGCGGUCUCUGAAGAUGAGGCCACUGCCAACGCCGAUCGCGAGGUGCGGAGGGCCAGGAACAGGGCCCGUGCAAUCCGGCGAAGGAGGGCCAACGAGCGUAGACGAUCUAUGUAUCGCGAGCUUGACCUGAGUUUGUCGCCGUAAGCGAACGGGGUUUCAGGACCCCGGUGGCCAACAUUUCCAGGGUUACGACCAUCCUCGAGCGCAGCAACGAUCCGGACGUGCGUCAAGCACUUCUUUACGCGCAGAGGGCCUAGAUCCAGCUGGAUCAGCAAAACCUGGCGUCCACCAUCAGGGAGGAGCGCAUGGGUGAGAGUCGGAGCCAGGCUCACAGCCGAACGGCUGGCGGUCGCCCUCGAUAUCAGCCCAGCCACAACAACGACAACGCUCGCGGGAGCCAGGCCCUUGGCGGGAGGCAACAGCCACCUCCAGGGGGUAACCCGCGACAGGCCAAUCAUCAGCCUCCUACAGAAGACUUGCGCCAGCACAUUAAUGAAGGUCGCGACACGCGGACCGUGGUCUCCUCCAGGCGCAAGGUCCGCGAAGAAGUCGAAACUGAAGGUACUGACUGUAGCGACUGUUUUCCAGCUUUCUCUGCACGAUUCAGCAGCUACAAGUACCCAGAGGGCUUCAAGCCGGUCGGCAUCACCAAGUACGACGGCAAGCAGGCUCCUCAGCAGUGGCUCCGUUGCUACUCCACGGCCAUUGAGGUCGCAGGGGGCUCGAACAUCACCAAAGUCGUCUACUUCCUGAUGGCUUUGGACCCUGCACCGCUCACGUGGCUGGAGAGCCUCAGCAGCAACUCCAUCGACUCCUGGGAGUGUCUCAAGAAGGUCUUCAUCGACAACUUCCAAGGAGCGAUCGCUCGCGUAGGUACUCGUCACGAUCUUGCUCAGUGUAAACAGGAACGUAAUGAGCUCCUGCGAUCCUACACACGUUGCUUCUUCGACAUCCGCGCCACCAUCGCGAACAUCUCGGAGGACGACAUCAUCGACUGCUUCUACAACGGCAUCACCGACCCAGGCAUCUACAGGGAUUUUGGGCGGAAUAGGCUGAAGACUGUUGCGGACCUUUGUGAUAUGAUGCACGAUUGGUCGGAACAGGAGGAGAAGAUGCGGGAGCGGUUCCCGCGGCCUCAAGAUAGUAAUCUGAGGCGCCCAAACGACAACCGCAACGACAAAGGCCAGCGGGACUUUUCAGGUCCACCCCGAAAACGCAAGCCAGAUGAUAUCAUCGCGGCUAUGGAUCGUCCUUCGCGGGGCAAGAAGUUGAUAACGCAGGAAGAGUUCGAGAAGCUCCUGCAGAAGAAGUGCCCAUGGCAUCCAGGUGCCAAUCACGCUGCCAUUGACUGCUACCACCCUCGGAGAACGUUCAGCAACUCCGGUGGUGGUAAGAAGAACAAGAAGCCUGCGGACAAAGAGCCCGAGGAUGACGACCAAGAGGACCAAGGGCGUAACCCGAAGUUCCAGGACGCUUCGAAGGUCGUCAAUGUCAUCUUCGGGGGAAAUGAGGAUUUUGGCUCCAGGCGGGACCAGAAGCUGCUUCUUCGGGAGAUCAUGUCCGUCGAGCCGGCGGUACCAUGACCACUCCGUUGGUCGGAGGUCCCCAUCUCAUUCUCUCGCGACGACCAGUGGAUGAGCUUUUCGGAGCCCAGAAAGUUCCCCUUGGUCCUUGAUCCUGUGGUGGCAGAGGUCAAGCUCACCAAGGUCCUCAUCGAUGGCGGGAGUGGGCUCAACCUCAUCUUCGUCAGCACUUUGAGGAAGAUGGGCCUGGACUUCAAGGACAUGCUGGUUCCCAGCAAGUCCCCUUUCUAUGGCAUCGUCCCAGGUAACACGGCACACCCACUUGGUACGGUUGUCCUCCCAGUCACCUUCCGCACGAGGGAGAACUACCGUACUGAGUUCAUCAAGUUCGAAGUAGCUAGCUUCGAAUCUUCUUAUCAUGCAAUUUUGGGUCGUCCGGCACUUGCCAAGUUUAUGGUACUGCCACAUUACGUUUAUCUGCUUCUCAAGAUGCCAGGAUUAAAUGGGGUACUUACUCUCCGAGGCGACUUGAAGAAGUCGUAUGACUGCAAUCAGGAGGCGAUUCAGUACGCUUCGACUACUCGUGUGCCAGGUGCUUCCGGAGAAGUACUCACGGCCGUGCAGCUCUCCCAGUCUGGGCUGGAGAUUACCUCCAAGAAGGCCAGCAAGUCGAGCAUCCAGUCAACUGACGACGUGGCCCUCAAGACGAUCCAGCUUCAGGAGGGAGAUUCAUCUAAGACCGUUGUCAUCGGCGCGGGCUUAGGUGACAAAUAGGAACUCGCGCUCGUCAGCUUCCUUCGGGCUAACCGAGACAUAUUCGCGUGGAAACCAGCGGAUAUACCAGGGGUGCCCAGGGAGUUGAUCGAGCAUGGUCUGAAUGUACACCCAAAGGCUGUGCCUAAGAAGCAACGCCUGCGAAGGUUUGCCCACGAUAAGAGUGAGGCCAUCAAACGGGAGAUAGCUAAACUCCUUGCAGCUGGAUUCAUUAAGGAAGUAAUCCAUCCAGAGUGGGUAGCUAAUCCUGUUCUUGUACGAAAAAAGAAUAAUGAAUGGAGAAUAUGUGUUGACUACACUGAUCUCAACAAGCACUGCCCGAAAUGCCACUUUGGGCUGCCGCACAUUGACCAAGUUGUCGACUCAACGGCUGGUUGCGUCCUUCUUUAUUUUCUUGAUUGUUAUUCAGGAUAUCAUCAGAUUGCGCUUAACGAGGAGGACCAAAUCAAGACUGCAUUCAUCAUCCUGUACAGGACGUAUGCCUAUAAAACCAUGUCCUUCGGGUUGAAGAAUGCAGGAGCAACCUAUCAGCGUGCAAUCCAGAUGUGCUUCGCGGGUCAGCUGCACCGGAAUGUUGAGGCCUAUGUGGAUGAUGUGGUCAUCAAGACCAGGGAUUCCGACGACUUGAUUGUAGAUUUGGAGGAAACAUUUAGCAGUCUGCGCAGAUUUCGGUGGAAACUCAAUCCUACCAAGUGCGUUUUUGGAGUACCUUCAGGGAAAUUGCUCGGGUUCAUCGUCAGCAACCGGGGCAUUAAAGCCAACCCUGUAAAGAUCACGGCCAUCACUGAUAUGGGGGCUCCGGCCACAAUCAAGGAUAUGCAGAAGUUAACAGGUUGUAUGGCAGCCCUGAACAGGUUAAUCUCCUGCCUCGGGGAGAGAGGACUACCCUUCUUUAAGCUCCUAAAAAACCAAGAUCAGUUCCAAUGGACGGAGGAGGCCGAGCGGGCUCUGCAAGAUCUGAAACAUCAUCUUCAGUCUCCUCCGAUCCUUACAGCACCAUUGCCGGGGGAAGACCUACUACUUUACAUUGCGGCAACAACCCAUGUUGUCAGCAGUGCUAUUGUAGUCGAGCGAGGCGAGGAAGGCCAUGCGUUUGGAGUGCAGAGGUCUAUCUACUUCGUCAGCGAGGUACUCUCCGAAUCCAAGGUACACUACCCCACCGUUCAGAAGCUUUUAUAUGCAAUUUUAAUCACGUCAAGAAAGCUGCGCCAUUAUUUCGACGAGUACAAGAUUACUGUGAUUACGGAUUUCCCGUUGGCUGAUAUUCUUCAUAAUCAAGAUGCCACGGGGCGCAUAUCAAAGUGGGCAGUGGAACUGGGAGCUUUGUCAAUCGAGUUCAAGCCACGCACUGCAAUCAAAUCUCAAGCUCUAGUCGACUUCAUGGCUGAAUGGAGGGAGAAUCAAGUUCCAACUCUAGUUGACAGGCCAGAGCACUGGACCAUGUACUUUGAUGGGUCUCUCAAGCUCGAUGGCGGCGGUGCCGGAGUUCUGCUUAUUUCUCCACGGAGCGAGCAAUUGAAGUAUGUCCUUCAGAUCCUGUGGGCGGUAUCCAACAAUGAAGCCGAGUAUGAAGCCUUGCUUCACGGGCUUCGUUUGGCGAUAUCACUAGGGAUCAAGCGACUAUUUGUGUAUGGCGACUCCCUUCUUGUCAUUCAACAAGUCAACAAAGAGUGGGACUGCAACAAGGAGACGAUGGACGCCUACAUCCAGGAAGUGCGCAAGUUGGAAAGUAAAUUUUCCGGCUUGAAGGUUCAUCAGGUGCUACGAGAGCACAAUGUCGGUGCGGAUACCUUGUCCAAGCUGGGGUCAGCACGUGCUCAGGUCCCACCGGGAGUCUUCAUCCAGGAGCUCAAGCAGCCAUCCAUCAAGCCUUCUCUGUAGGUAACCAUCGAUGCGGGUCCCCAACAACCCGAUCGAGAGGUUAUGGCGCUGGGGGAGGACUGGCGAGAGGCUUUUAUUGACUUCAUCCGAGAUCAAAGGCUACCAGCGGGAAUUGACGCCAGAAGCGCAGAUGCGGCAUGCGUCAUGUGCAGAAGCAAGGGUUUCGUCCAAGUCGACAGCAAGCUCUAUCGGCGUGACGCUCGGUCAGGUGUUCUCAUGAAGUGCGUCACAAUGGAAGAUGGCUACGACUUACUGCAGGAGAUCCAUGAGGGCGUCUGCAGCAACCAUAUAGCUUCAAGGACGCUGGUGGGGAAGGCAUACAGGGCCGGCUUUUGGUGGUCCACUGCAGUAUCUGACGCGGAAGAUCUCGUGCGCAGGUGCCAAAAUUGUCAAUUCUUCGGCAAGCAGUCCCAUGUUCCAGCCUACAGCCUCAUCAUCAUACCGCCAUCCUAGCCCUUUGCCUGUUGGAGCCUUGACAUGAUUGGGCCCUUCACAAUAGUGCUGGGGGGUUUCACCCAUGUGUUGGUGGCUAUCGACAAGUUUACCAAGUGGAUCGAGUACAAGCCGAUAGCCAAGCUCACACCAGAUCGAGUUGUUGAUUUCGUCUCUGAUAUCUUGCAUCGGUUCAGCUUCCCAAAUACCAUCAUCACAGACUUGGGAUGAAAUUUCACAGCCAACCAGUUCUAGGAGUUCUGUGAGAAUGCAUGCAUCGAGGUUAAAUAUGUCUCUGUUGCACACCCAAGGGCUAAUGGACAAGUCGAACGGGCGAACGGCAUGAUAAUCGACGGCCUCAAGAAGAGACUCUACGAUGAAAAUAGCAAGAAGGGAGGCAAAUGGAUACACGAGCUGCCACAUGUUGUCUGGGGGCUUCAGACUCAGCCAUCCAAAGCCACAAGACAAACGCCUUUCUUCCUCGUAUACGGAUCUGAAGCUAUCUUACCGGCCGAUAUCAUGUGGAAGUCCCCAAGGGUUGAAAUGUACAACGAAGGCGAGGUGGACGAGGCGAGGCAAUUAGAGCUCGAUUCUGUUGAGGAGGCUCGCUGACCGCUCUUAUUCAGUCAGCUCGAUACCUGCAGGGGAUUCUGCGAUAUCAUGAUCGUAACAUGAGGGAACAAUCAUUCAGCAUCGGUGACUUGGUCCUACGUCGCAUUCAGGACAAAUCCGGCCUACACAAGCUUAACUCAAGGUGGGAGGGCCUGUUCAUCGUCAAGCAGGUUACAAGACCGGGGUCAUAUCAACUACAAUAUCCCGAGGGUCAAGAUGUUCCGAACUCUUGGAACAUCCAGAACCUGCGCAAGUUUUACCCAUGAGAAGAUGUCCGGUGAUAGCUGAAUCCUCGGGGGCUGGGACGGUCUCCUUUUCUCGAAUCAAUUUGGAGGCUAUGUGCCACAAGAUUCGGGUUGUAAAUUCCUUUAUGAACACACGGAGGCUACGGUCACGUGCUGUACUUAUAUAAAUCGACUUCUUGUCAUGAAUUUUACGGAGGCUACGGCCACGUUCAUAUCUUAUCAACUUCGUGUUUUGACGGAAGCCUCGGCUCCGUUCUUACCUUCUACAAAUCGACUUCCGCCACAGCCUUGAAUGGUCAUUCACUACUGCACUUAUCCCAACAAAAUCGAUCCGUUCGACUGGUUUAUGCCCAGUUUGUUGGAUGGGCUCGCAUGAAGAGCUACUUCGACUACAUCCUGAGUCGUUGCACUCGGGGUAGUUUCAUUUUUUGCCUUACACACGGCAGACCCGUGGCGAUGCCCGCGUUUGCUCCCAACGAGUUUGAUCCGCUAAUCCGGUCCCUACCUAACUCGUGGAGCGUGCUCAUGCAAAGAGCGACCUCGACUACACCCAGAGUCGAUGCACUCAGGGUAGUUCUGCUUUUUCUGCCUCAAGCACGGCAAUUUUGCAACGAUGCUCGCUUUCUUUUCUAACAGUUCAGACCCGCUCGAUCGGGUUGUGGCUCACUUGUUAGAUGAGUUCCUACUUGGAGCUAUGCCUACCUUCAGGAUCGCUGCACCCAGGGUAGUGUCCACUACUUAGCGUUUUAAGCCUGGACGCCAAUUCAGCCAAGGCACACAAGUGGAGACAUCAAAGAAACUAUAUAUACAAGGAAGUAAAUACUUAUUUUUUACACCCUAAUCCUGCAGUACACUUUAUACUAUUUGUUCUGCUACAGGUUGGGCUUCUUGGAGGUAUUGGUCGAAUUGUUCCUCGGUGCAAUCCGCAGCCAUGCCCUGAGCAAAUAUCUCUAGUUGUGCCCUCGGCACAAAAGACUACACGAAGGUGAGGGCGUGGCUGACGCAUGCAACCAGGGCUUCCGAGAGGAAUCUGACCACCUUUUGCGGCGCUUCGCGAAGUCGUUCUAGCAAGGGCCGCGGGCUUGUUUCGCCUUCUUCUGGUGGAUCCACCAUGUCCACCAGUUCCUGGGCGGCUUCCUUGACAAUUUCAAAUUCCUUCUCCCGCUGCCCCUUUUCCUCGCCUAGCGUCUUGAUUCGCUGAAGGCAGUCGGCGAAUUGUUCUUCAGUGUCGGCGACUACCUUCUGCAGCCUCUCGACAUCAUCUGUACGACGAUACAGCAUAUUCUUCAUGUCAGUAAGCAGCUCUUCUUUGUAUUUUAUGAUUUUCCUAAGCUCUACGGUGAAGAUAUUUCAGCAACCAGGGGAAACUACUAAGGAAAAGUACCCGAGGGAAGCAAGGUCUUACCUUGGUGCGCUUUCUUUUCCUCCUUGAGCUGCUCCUGGUGCGCCGCCUGCUGUUCCUUGAGCUGUUUUUGGAGCUCGGCGUUUGCCUUCUCGAGGUUUUGCAGGUCGUUCUUGAGUAGCCAAGUCUCUCAAGUUCUUUCCUGCUUCAGCAUGUCAAGCUCCCUCUGCAGAUAGCAAUUUUUUGUCUUCUCAUCGGAGAUGUGCUUGUCCAGGGCAGCCAGCUCUCGGUGGCCACUCACAACCGCGCUCAGCUUCUCCGAUUUCCUCUGGGAGUGAGUGAUCACAUUCUGCGCAAAGGCGAGGUUGGGUCAAAACAGCUCGCCAAUAUGUACAAGCAGAACAAUUCUCAGGUCUUACCAUGGAGAAGUCGUACAGUUCCUUGAAGGUCUUUAUGUUCUCGGCCGUCAGCAUGGGGUCAUCCACCAGGUCGGUGUUGAUGACGUUCUUGUAUCCGGACCCGGCCUUCAGUAUCUCACGAGGACCCCCUGUGGUCCCCGCGGCUUCUUCGGGUGGUGGCUGCUGGGCACCUGCAAAUACAAAUGUUGUCAACACAUUGCGCCCAGAUCCCGGUAGCUAGCCGCGGGCGGUCAGACGCUUACCUGUGCCAUCCGUAGGAGCGGCAUCAGGGGCCUCGACUUAUUCCCCGCCACCAGUUCCGGCUUCAUCUUGUUGGAGCUCGGGAGGCGGCAAGUCGGGCAGCGUCGCGUCCGCCUCGGGGGCCGGCUCCGUGGGCGCUGCCUCACCAGGCGCCGACGCCUCAGGGGCUGGAGCGGCUGUGGCUGGUCCUGCGCCAGAAGACUCAGCUCGGGUUGACGACUCGGGGGCUGAGGUAGUCGUGGCCAGAUCCAGCUGGAGCUGCACCGCGCUUGCAGCCCUGAUGAUGUCGGAGUCAUUGUUAUACAAGUCGAAAAAAGCAGAAUAUUUAUGUGACCAGAUGCAAACUUACAAUGUAGACUUCUUUUUGACGGCCUUUUUCACCCGCAAGGCUCGCCGUGGAGUUUCCGUUGCGGGCGGCGGGGUUUGAUCGGCCGACGGUGUGGUCCCCGCCACGGCAAUGGUAAUGGCCGCGGUGGCGGAUGGACCUGUUCCCAUCUCUUCGGGCUCGGUCCCGGGUGAAAGAGCAGGAAGACUACAAGUGAAUACUGUCAGUGUACAAUAAUACUGAUAUUUGGCAACUCAUCAAAGCAGCAAACCAGUACCUAGAAGAUUCGACUUCUUGCGUCUUUCGCUUGCGCACUACUCGACGACCCUGCGGCACCUGAGGUAGGGCUUCGGUUAACUCCACGGCUAGCCUGGAGGAGUUAUCCCUUUCUGCCCCCUUUUCAGCAUCCUCCUCCACCAGGCGGCCCUCGUCCUCUGUGGACCCGCUGCUGGGCAAAGCCUGGGCUAUGUGAGCCCUCUUUGCUUCGACAAUGGCGCUGGGGAGGAGGUGGUCUGGUCGGGGGAUGUCGGGUUGCGGCGGGUAGCUGCGGUACAGUUCUGUGUGCCCUUGCAGAAGAUUUUCAGUUAACAGCAGUAGAACAGAGUUUGUUUCCAAUAAAAAGUAGUCGAAUACUCACCGGCAGUGGAGCAUUCCGCGCGCAAAACAAUUCUGGGACAUAGGGGACGGCGUCCACGUCCAGCAGUACCCGCCUGACUCGGAGGAGUGCGGCGUCGUCUGACAGCUCCUCUGCGCACAUGCGAGAUGGAUCUUCAGAGCCUGUGUACUCGAAUCCAAGAUGGUGGCGCUGUUGGAUCAGUUGGACUCAGCGUUUGAAGAAAGAGAACAUAACGGAAGCGCCGGUCACCCCCAUCAACUUGUUUGCUUCUAUGAGUUCUAAUAAUUCCUCGACUUGAUCCAUGUCCCCCCUGGACAGUUCAAGAUUCCACUCCAGCCUCACUACAGGUGGGUUAUUUGUUUUUUCUGGGAGCUGGGGGCAUGAUUUUCAGUAUAGAACCAAUGAUUGUUCCAACCAGGAAUGUUGGAGGAGAAUUUGUACGAGAGGUACUUUUCGCCGGCCUGCUGACGUAGUUGGAUGCCGGCGCCCCCUACUCAGAAAGUUUUUUUGAGGUAGGUUGUGGCUUGACGCGGAAGAGGAAGCGGAAAAGAUCCCAGUGUGGCUCGAUUCUGAGGAAGGCUUCACAGAAAUGGAUAAAAAUGGAAAUGUGGCAGAUGGAAUUCGGGUUGAGGUGAUGGAGCUCAAGCCCGUAAUAAUAGAGAAGGCCGCGGAAGAAAGAACAAGAGGGAAGGGCCAAUCCUCAUUCGGCAAAGUGGUAAAAUAUGACGAUUUCGUCAACAUUUUCCAUAGGGAAAGGUUCACGGAAAGAGGGGCGCCAGUUGACAAGAUUUUUGUCUUGCAGCAACCCCUCGGAAACUAGCUUAUUCAGAUCGUUGAGGGAACACUUACUGUAUGUCCACUCUCCGGUCGACGAGUGCACCUCCUUCUUUUUCCCUUCGAUUUCCGAUUUCUUGGGCGCCAUUUCCGAUCCGCUCGCCACGAGAUGCUCGGGGGCUGCGGGGAGAGGGGCGGGGAGAUCGGGGUGGGGGGAUUUCUCUGGGAGGAUAGCGGCGGAGCGCGGCUCUGUUUGGGGAUUUUUGCGGCUUUUGGCAAAUUGCAGAUUGGAGGCACAGUUUCUUCUCACUGUUGCCGCGGGGUUAAAUAACCAGCGGUUGGGGAAUAUUCCAAAGAUGAGGGGUCAUUUGGUGGAUUGUUUGGAUUAAAUAUUUGAUUAAUCAUUUUUUCAGGGUUAAUUAGCCCGAAAAAAGGGGUUUUUUGAAUUUUUGAUCUAAUUUCCAUCAUUUGUAUCAUCAUUUUGGUAAUUUAUUAAGUUAACAUUUUUAGCCUGCAUGCCACGAUUUUUGGACCCUUAUCUCCAAUUUUGAGGGAUUUGGAUUCAAGGCUCGGGGGCUGCGGGAUACGUGGCAUCGACUACUUAUUUUUCAAAUUUAUUUGAAAGGUAAGGAGGAUUACAGACUAAUGCGACCCUUAGCCUGAUUCUCCGAUUCAACCUAAGGCUCGGGGGCUACUCCAUAUGGAGUGCGAUUUUUCAAUCGCACGCCAUAUUAAAAAUAUAAUUUGGGGCAUGAGCACCUCAUAGCUUCGAUGCAGCCAAGCAAGUACUCGAAGAAGGACUUCAAGACGAAGCUUCAAAGGAAGACGAAGACUGCUUCGAAAGUACUCGAUAAGUCUGCAGUACUCAGCUACGAAGAGCUCGGGGGCUUGUCAGACCCAGGACCACGGGAUCGUGUACAUAAUGUAGUUUAAAGAGGUUUAAGAGAUUAAGUCCGUCUUAUCUCUUAUUUAUCUUGUUUAUCUCUUAUUUAUCCCGUUUAAGUAGGAGAUAGAGCUAACCGAUACAGGAGGAAUCUACUCGAGAUAUGUUCUGGUAUGAUUUCUUAGCUGGUGUUGGUUAGUAUCUUUGUAACCCUAACCUCUCGGAUAUAUAAGGGAGGAUAGGGACCCCUCUCAAAACACGAUCUCUAGAUCAUUCUACACCUAAGGCAAUACAAACCACCCCACAGGACGUAGGGUAUUACGCACCUAGCGGCCCGAACCUGUCUAAGCUUUGUGUUCCUUAUUCCUUCGAGUUCCUGAUCUCGGCGUCUCCUCACCCAAAACUUACCACGUUGGGUAUACCCCUCGGUGGGCAGCCUGUUAAACACCAACAGCAUCCUAUUUUUAAAAUAUAUAUUAUUAUAACUUAGUACUAGUAUAUAAAAUUGAGUAUUUCCACAUACUCUACGUAUGGUCACAUACACAAUACAGUGUAUAUAGCAUCACAGAUGGUUUGGUAUGAUCACAUACACCUCGUACGUACCUUCAUUAGGUCAGAUACAUUCUGCAUCAUGAGAUACACAUGUAGAAAUAACUAUAAGCGCGUGUAGAAUAGAUUUUUCAUAUAUAUAUAUAUAUAUAUAUAUAUAUGGAGAGAAAGAGAGAUGGGGAGAGAGAGGGGGGGAGCGGUUUAGCGGAUGUGCAUGCACAUCACGACUUGUCCUGUUAGGCUCGUGAACUUUUGUAAUAUAUACGCUCAUGUCGAACUCCUCUACAUAUUCAAAAUAAAAUAAGUAUGUAAAUGGAACUAUAUUUUUCAUGGGUGGAACUAACCCAAUCAUCCAACCGAACAGUAGGUCAAACCGAAUACUAGGUCGGAAAAAAUAAAUGCUUAUCAUAUUCUUAGUCGCAAUCCUAUCAAUAAAUUAAAAUGCUAUGAGCAUUUAGCAAGCGUCGUAUCGAUGUGACGACCGAGGAGGAAACACAUGGGACGAUGGCAUCGAGGCAAACACAAUAGGCAACUAGAGCUACAAGUCGCUAUCGGCACACGUCGUUUGAGUACGUGUUGUGUGUGUGUGUGACGACACAACAGGUGGUGCCGUCCAACUCGCCAAUUAAACACUCCGGCCGGCACGCCAUCAAGCUGUAAUCUGCACGAUACCUCUUAACUCACGACAGCGGAAGCGACGAGAAACAGAGAGAAUGUCCAGCUAAUCUCUCUCUUUUUUACAAGUUCGAUCGGCUAAUCUCCAUAAUUGAAGGGGGCAAAUUGGAAGAAGAGGACAUAGGACGUAAUGAAAAUUUCUGAGCAGCCACAGCAAUCGACGAAAUUUGUCUAAAGCUUCGAAUAUUCGGACAAGUUGUAGGCUUUUAUAUAGUAAUCAGACAUAUAUAAACGAUUGUUACCGAGCUAUAGUCGCCACAAUUGGACAGCUCAACCUUGGCGCACCGUAAUAAGAAGAUAUGUUGGCCGGCUAAAAUGGAAACAAUUCAUAAAGAAAAACAGAUGAUGUCAAUUGCACCGUUUCUUCUCUUUUAACUUUCUAAACUAGCUACGAAUUGGUUAGAUUUCUUGUGUUGCAACCUAGCCAUCUGAGUUUGAGCCGCCGACUCCUUGAGUUCUCACAUUUUUGGCUGAAAAUUCUUUUAGUGGCAGGCGAUAUGCUUAUCGUGUAUUUAUGAAGAUAAGUGUGUUUCUAAAAAGAUUGUUAUGUUUCGAAACCCCCCCCCCCUGCAUAUUUACCUUCCUAAAACCUGUCAUGUUAUAUAAGUUGUUGGCCAAGAUUAUGAAUUUAUGAUCGAUAGAGUCAUUACCCUUACACGAACUUUCAUGAUCGUUCACUUCAUAUAAGGACUGCAGUUGGAAGGUCAUUUUUCUAGUAGCGAUGCUAACCCACAUGAAGCCCAUCUCGCCCACAUGGUCGCCACAUUCGAUUAAAUUCAAGAAGCUAAGCUUCCUUAGGCAUAAACAACAUGUGCAUGGAAGGUUUACCAUGAGACUAAGUCGAGAUCAAGAUGAAAAAUAGCAACCGCAAUUGAUCUUAUCAUCACUUGGUGUCAUCCCGAAGGAUUUCGAUGUCCAAGGACCACAUGCAAGUGACCCAAUAAUGGCUUCUAGAAGGCCCAAACACUGAUAUAGUCGAGAUUGAGGAAUAUUGAAAAAAUUGAAAGUACAAAGUUAAAGGCAGUUCAUGGCGAUCAGCUUGCCAUGUUUAGGCCCUCGAAUGCCUUUCAUUUCAAGCCAUUUCAUUGGCCGCCUGAAAUUCCAUUAAAUUGAUAUCAGGCUAUUUCAGCGGGAACUAAAAAUUCGCCGAACAAAAAAAAUGGAUUUUAGCUAGGAUCUUUGAAUUGGCUGGGAGAUCGAUGAGUUUUUGGGCUUUGAAAAAUAUUUUGCUCGAUAUCCUGCAAUUAUCUAGGUUUUGCCAUGGGGUUUUCCCAUGUCCCAACAGGCACAAUUAUGGAGUUGGAAUCUCUAUCCAUUUUCCCCGGCCCCAAUAUUUAAAGCUUAUACACCUUUCAGCAUCACUAUUGGCACAGUAGAUGGAUGGCUGUGACGGGGUGGGAGAACAAGCCAGCUAGCCAAUGUGGCACAACUUGAUCUAAAGAUAUGUGUGGAUGAUUACUCAUUAUGUAUAAAUCUACAAAGUCAUAAUAAGUAAAUUAACAAUGUCAGAUAUGGAGAUUGCAAUAAAAGGAUUUAAAACGGUAAAAAAAAGAAAAUAAAAGACGAGCGUACUCCUAUAUUUUAUGGUUCAUUGUUGAUGGGUUAUUCAGUAAGCAAGCCAUCCUCUAGGAGACUGAUUGAGGUUCUUUGCACCCAAGGCUUAAAUUCUUCCCUUGCAUCUUCUCCCUGCUGGGCGUGCCAAUAUGACCACCCAAGUAGAGUCAUUCUUUUCUCUUUUGUUUGGAAUCGGCCGCUGGGUGGCCGGGGGGUUGGUUCGCUCGCAACAGCAAGGAGAUUUAGAGCCAUUGUUUUCUCACCGCGUCGAACGCGCUCGGCCAUCAUCAUGUCAUUAGCUCCGUUUGUUUUUAAUGAAGUCGCCGACGACUCGCCCUGCUAGCUGUGACAUUGUUGUUCUAUCUGCGAUCUGCGGGCGCGACCAGCAUGAGAAGCUAACGGAAGGAGCAGACCACGAAGGUCGACCAGCACUGGUUGCCGCCUGCCGGAGCUAUGGCGACCCGCGGCAGCUCCGACCACAGAGAUGGUAUCGGUUAGUCCUCCCUCCCUCCCUCCCUCUCUCUCUCUCUCUCUCUCUCUCUCUCUCUCUCUCUCUCUCUCUCUCUCUCUCUCUCUCUCUCUCCCCCCCCCCACACACACACACACAGUUCUCUGCGCUGCACAAAUGUCCGUAGGAAUUAUGCACGUCGCACUAAGAUUUGAAUACCCGCAUAUAUACUUUAUUGACAUUAUAUAUUGAGGUACGAGUACGAUAUAGAGAUAUAAAUAUUCCAAUAUCUGGACUUCUUUUCAUUCCGUCAAUCGAUCAAAAGCAAUGUACGUAAACCUGUAAAAUUCACUACCAAGGGCUUGAUGUAUGCAAGAGCUACAACUCCUUGACUCUUGCAGAGAAACAUUGUUUUUUAUGGGAAAAAUAUGAAGUGAGUUAAGCAUUGUUUUUAGCCAAGAUUAUACACUGAAAGGAUCAAGAUGUUCAAGAGAUGUUGGCUUCUAAAUUUAUUACUCAUCAUGUGACCAGCUUCAAAGUUUGUGUAUCUAACGCACAAAAUCCUAGCAUGCAAAUCCUGAGAAUGUAAAUUGUGGAAAGUUAAGAGAAGGUUGAGAAUACUAAUUUUCCUCAAGGUAUAAAAAAGGUUAGUACUCUCAUGUAGUCCUUGUUAGAGCACCUGUGCAAAGGGUCGCGUAAGGAUCAAAUGUUCUCUAGUGCAUUUCAAAAUACUCCAAAUUGAUUGAUUCGAGUUUCAACUUGGAUUCUUCCCAUUCUUCUAUGCUCAGGGCUAGGUCUUCCUUAUCUCCUUCACACAUAUCAUUUGCACCAAUACUGAGAAAUGCAAUAAAACCAUAAAGCCCAUCAUAGUGACCUAACUUAUAAUUAUCGCUACAAAACACAAGUUAGUUACAAUGACCAUGAUGCCACAUUAUUAAUCUCAAAAACUGAAUCAGGAGCUAGAUGCUUCCAUAAACAAAAUGACUCACUCCAUGAAUUCUAUGAUUAGAGUUUGUUUCAAAUGAUGAAUCCAUAUGGUGAUCAAUUUGAAUUUAUGUGUAAUUAAUUGAUAUAUAACAAAUGAAUAUUUAACUGUUAGAUCCGUACAUAUGCGGCAGUCGGUGAUGUCUGCUUGAGAUAAUAAUUGCCGAAUUGAAACUGACUUUUUGUUGCAGCGGAGGAUCAUGCUCUUGUCGUUGCUGGUGCCAACAAUAUGAAAAUGUUUGGCAUGCCUAGAGACUUAUUUUUGAGAUACGAUAAUAAUAGGCGGAAUGGGGCUGCCAUUGGUGCAUCCACAUCUUCUUUCGCACAGGAAUACGACAACUUUGAGUCCCAGGUACGUGCGCAUGCAUCUUGCCAAAUAAUAAUCACAUUUAAUUUCCAUCAUUUCUCUGUCCGCAUCAUUAGGCUGUCUCCAGCGAUAUCCUCCAAAUCCCAUCCUCUACAUCCUUCUUUUACAGAAUUCUUUACAAGAUUCUCUCCUCUAUAUCUCAUUUCUCUCCAACAACGUUCUCUAAAUCUCGUUCUCUAUACAUUAAACCCUAUAUUAGAAACGUAUUUUGUUCCAAAUUUUUGUACGUGCGUAUUUAUCAUACCUCAAACGCUAUGGACAUAUUUUAUUUUUAUUUAAUUUAGUGUUUGAAACGUAAAGAAAAAUAGAGAAGAGGAGAGAGAAUCUCUAUAUAUAUAGAGAAAACCUGUAGCGUUCUCUAUUUUAGAGGACCAUUUAGAGAACGCUGCUGGAGCAAUAGAGAACGGAAUCUUCUUCUAUAUAUAGAGUACAGAACGCUUUACAGUUCCCCGCUGGAGACAGUCUUAGCAUGGUUUGGAUUGGCCACGGUCCUAGAUCGAUUCACGGUAUAACUCCUAUCAUGGGAUAAUUCACAGAAAAAAUAAAUAUACAGAUAUUAAGAAAUAAAAGAGAAAUAUCGCGCCAAUUAGUUUAAUUUGCAGCAUCAGACAACAACCGCACACGCAAUUUAAUUUAAUAUCGAUACUGUAUAAUAGAAUUUUGUUAAACGUGCUGGAGUCGUAUACAACCAAAGUUGUAUUUUGGGACACAAACAUACAUUUUUAAUUUGUUAUCUAUCUAAACAAUAUCUGUGCACCCUCUCCAGCUAUAAUUUGUUUAUUUUCUAACAUUAUACCCUUAUCGAUACAGACGCUAGGGUUUCAAGGAAAAAACUGCGUUGAGAACCUAGCCUUUGUUCUACCUUUAAUUUUAAAGCCUUUCUUUGGAUACUAUAAUGGGCUAAUAUUAUAAAACUUCUAGCACUAUUUGAGUUUGCAGUACAUACCCUACAUAUUGAAUUUUUAUCUACUAAAGAACUCUAAGUGCUGCCACAUAUUUUUUUCUACAUAAUGGGAGUGCUUAUAUUCAUACUAUUAAUGUAGAAAUGGUGUAACAUUUCCUAUAAAAUUUUACAAUUUUAUCUAAAGUAGAAAAUUAUAUAAGUCAUAAGGAUUGGUAUAUAAUCUAACAUGAAUUGUUUCUGUCAUUGGCAUGUGAUUGUUAACCAAGGAAGUUGAUAUGCUUUCAUUGCUUUGAGUUAGGAUUGGAUUGUUGGAUGGGUAAUUUCAAAGCAUAUAUAAAGGUAUUUUAUGCUAUUGUUUCUAUAAUGAUAGUCGCAGGUAAUUUGAACAUAGAAUUACUAGAUGAUUUAGGAUUAUUAUAACAAUGGCAAAGAUUGAUAACUUAGAUGCAAAUUUAAAGGGUUAUUAUUCAUAAUGGUAGAGGACUAGAGGUGGACAAUUUUUGUGCAUAUUUAGUGGUUACUUUUAAGUAUCUUUCAUAAUGGCAAAGGUAGAAGAUUAGCAACAAUGGUUAUUGUUGGUAACAAUGAUUAAGUCUAGAGAAUUGAUGACUGGAUAUUUUGUGCAUUUUUUAGGAAUUUCUAGGGCUUCUCUCAUUUUCUAAUGUGUUCCAUGAGGUUUAAUGUGCAGACUCCAAAAGGAGUGUGCAUCUAGUAAUUGCAAGUAUUUAUUCUUAAUAAUAGCAAAGGUUGGUGACUUAUUAGAUGCAAAUCUAGGGUUUUAUUUUCUUUCAUAAUGGCAACUGGAGUAACUAAGAUGCAGAUUCAUGGAAUUAUUUCAGGUUAUCUUUUAUAAUGGUAGAGGUUACUAGUUAGGAGUGCAUUAGUUAUUGAUGCCAAAAGUGAUCGAGUCUAUAGAAUUAAUGAUCGUGUCUUUGCUUUUUUUGGAGGAAUUUGUAGAAUUUCUCUCUUUUUCUACCUUGUCCCGUGAUGAUUUACUAGAAGGCUCCAUAUUGGUCUCUAAUUAGCAAUACUUAGUUUUAACAUCGUUUAAUUAUAUACAUGUGUGUAUAUAAAUGCAGAUUUUUGUUAGGUCCUGCCAUGGUACUUGCCUUCUGAACACCAAUCUGCAGAGUGGCACGGUGGAAACACUUAAAUGCCUGGUAGAGGAACGGGAAGGGAUUCCUGCUAAGGAUCAGUAUUUGAUCUUUGGCGCGAAACCAUUGCGGGACGGUACGUUGCUCAGAGAUUAUGCAAUUCGAGAUGAGUCGACCAUAGAUGUUCUUCCAAGGAUUCGUGGUGGCAGGUAAUAAGCCGAAUAAUCGGCCUAGGCUUAAUUUUCUUUCCCUGUGCUCUGAUUUUGCACCGCUCGAAAUGAACUUGUUAAUCUCUUGAACAUGAUGUUUACAUGUACAUUAAUCAUCUGUGCAGUCGGGAGGACAUGACGUUGGAUGAACUGCUAGUACGCCAGGCGCCCUUGACCAAGGAUGCUGUUGUGAACGAGCUACCGCCUGGGCCAGGAGUGUCGAAUUCAACAAAAGUGCUGGACGAAGCCGGCGUGAGGGUGCUUCGCGGCAUCAUGUCGUGUGUCCUGAAGAACCACAAGGCUAAGCUGGCAUUCCGGGAGAACGAACUCACAGCGGAGAAAUUGCGGGUUUCGGUCGUUACCAACGAACAGGAUGGCGUUCUGUGGGAAACAGCUUCAGUGAAGCUCCAUAACAUCAGUGCAAAAGAGACACUGACGGACGAUACCCAAAAGGAGAACUUGAGACGACUCCGCGAGGUGAUAGAGCGCGUGUUCCGUCGCACAGGCGGCAAUGGGCCUCAGUACCCUUUACAUGUAGAGAGCAUAGACUCAACCCUCGUGACCCUGUCAGCAGAGACGACGACGCCAUUGUCGCCUGCCACCUCUGGCCUGCUGGCGGGACGCACGCAGCUGCUGGAAGCGUUAGCUGCGACGGUGGAUCCCGUCCAAAUGGCAAGCAUGUGGUGGAACCUCAUCAGAUUUCAGGACUCGCUGACUAGAGAACGGCGAACUGUAUUCCGGAAGGCCGUGGAGAGCACAAAACAAACCAAUUGGUCCCAGAAUCUCUCCCAUCAUCCACUCUUCAGCAAUGUGUACAAUUACGAGAAUCCUCCCUCGUAUGACAACUCCGCCGUGGACCUGCUCUUCUUUGCAAGGAAUUGGUUUACGCAUGUGCCGAAACAACAAUGGGUACGUACGCACACACCUGCUGCAUAAUUAAUCGAUCUCCUCAAUUCCGCUCCUUCUUUCUUUUUUUUAUUUCUUCUUCGAGGCAUUUCCUUCUCUAACCACUAAUUCCCUGCGUGCAUGUUCCUAGUUUACAUUGCCUUGCUAGCUAAUUGUCACUGUAAUUAGUUAGAAUUGGUCGAAGUUGACUAAAUUUGAUUUAGGACAAACCUAACAUGAUAUGUAAAUAAAAAUAGAGGAGUACAUUAAUUAUUAGCCCCCCUCAAGAUAUGUUUACUGUUAUAUGGUCACAAGCCAAUGGAGAUCUUUGGUUCGUCUAACGCAACAGCUUGAAGGACAAGUCAUGCUACAAAUUAGCAAAGUAAUUCGCGACUCUAAAUAAGACUUUUACUUCAAAUUUAAAAGCGAGGUCAAAAAUUAAACUCUAAUAAACCCACAAUUAUAGUCCUUAUUUUGUGUAAAUCUCCAAACCCUCCCUCCUUCCUAGAAUCCAAGGUUUUUGGCUCUCUCAACAACCCCUAUUUGGUAGCUAGUUACAAGACUGACGUGGGAUGAUUCUUCCGUCCUUUUCCUUUUCGCUCGGCCUCCUCCUGCUCAACGCCGCGCCAUCAACCCUCCUCCGACUGCCCACUCGCUCCCAGCUCCGCCCCUCCCAAACCGCAUGGCCCUCCUCUAUUGUACGCUCGCUCCGCCUCUCCUGCAUGGCGCCUCCGAUCCUCCUCGUCAUCAUAUAGCGCCGGCGCCGCCUCCCUUCCCUAGCUUUGAUCAUAACUGGCCUGGUUCCAUGCUAGAUGGCCCAUUUGUCCAUCUGUAGUUCUUUGUAAAUUACUUAUAUUUUUAAUAUACGAUGCAGAUGCAUGCGCUCACACGUAUGUAUACUUAUCCCUAUGAAUAUAAUACAUAUAACAUAUUUGACAUCAACCAGACACUGAAAGAAUUAGCUGCAUUAAUGUUACACAAGUCAACAAACUUGAGGAUCGAUUUCUUGUAGGUAAAGGUAUGACCGCUUCCGCUGACCAAAUAGAUUGGAUUUUUUUUUUUACUAACCAGACACUUCCUUUCUCUGCAGAAUGACCUGGGAGCACAAGUAUUUCAAGGAUUACCGCAUCUUGACUAUAUUUUUACUCAUCAUUUUAUCCGUUUCCUGCCAAACCUUCUGCUAGGACUUCGUGAAAAAAAAUUCGAUCUUAGAGAAAUGUAAGUUUCUGAUACCCUUAAAAUAAAGAAAAUACUGCGCAUGCAAUCCUGUGCUAACUAGGUAUUUGUUUUGCAGCCUUGUUCCUCUAACUUGAAGAUGAUCAUUGGAACUUAGCUGUCGCGGUGAACCAGUGUGCAAAUAUACUUAUUAUCAUCCAAUUCAGCCAAUUCAUGCUAGCAUUUUUGCCUUUUACUAUAUAUCUGUACAAACGUGUCUACCUUCUUUUAUCUAUCUACUAAAUGUACUAGUAUAAGCUACUCUACUAUAUUUAUGACAGUUCCUGAAUUUUUGUGUAUUUCCAUGACUUAAUUAUUAUCAAGUGUGAUUUUCCCGUUGUGAACAUAACGAAAGAUUUUAUGACUAAUGAUGAAAUUAAAUGAUUAUCAGGACACUACAGUGUCAGUCCUGAUAAUUAUUAUCCUUAUGUUUUUAGAACUUUCCUCCACUACGGGUCUCGUUUCUACCUGCUACUAUCUCGGAAGCCUAGCUAUUAUGAGAGAAUCAAUUUGCAAGGGCGUAGAAAUUUAAUAAUCACUAUAAAAAAUGAUUUUUAGAGGUGUCUCUUUUUUCUGGGAUGGCCCAAAAGGUAACUCACUCCUACAAAAGGAGCGGGGUUAUUGUAGUAUUCGAUGACGGGUGAUGCCUGGAAAAAUGGCCACCAUUUUUAGGAACGGGUGAAAAAUACAUUUUUAAAGAUGGGUGAUGGCGUCAACCGUCUCUACAAAUGAUCCAACACAAAUAAAUUCAUAAAUUUUCAUAUGAUCUCGGAUGAAGUCAAACUUUAUAUCAAAAUUGUAGAGCUUGACGAGACCUAAAAUUCUGUAGUUGAUAACUUUUCAUUUAAGGUUCAAAAAAUCUAUAAGUUUUGAUUUUUCCAAACAACCUCGAUGUAGAUUAGCUCCAUAUCUAAGCUGUAGUGGUAGGAUCUAAAAUUUUAUAGUAUAUAAACUAUUCAUUUAAGAAAGUUUAGGAUACUCAUGAUUGAAUUGUUGUACUCUAUAGUCUAUAGUAUGUGCGUUGUGCUAUAUAGUAUCUCAUACAUACAAUUUAAGUCAUACUUUGAGGUUUCACAAUCUUAACAUUUAUAUAUACUGAAAUAUACUUGUCAUAUUUUUUUCUGUAUCUGUAAUUCAUAAUAAUCAUAGUGUAAAAGUUUUACUUUUUUAUUUAUUUUGCUAUAUUCUAAGAUUAAAUGAAUUUUUAGAAUAAAAUAGAAAAAUAUUUUCAGGACGGGUGGUGGUAUCGCCCACCUCUGGAAAUCCGUCCCUGGAAACGGAUUUGUCAGGGAGGGUGAUGGCGGCACCCACUCGUACAAAUCGAUUUAAUAGUUAAUACAAAAGAAUGACAUACCUCAUAGAAUCACAAAUGACUAUAGUGUGGUGAAAAUGAGGGUACGUGCGAGGCUUGAGCAGUAAGAGGGGCUUGUGGUGGUUGGUUGGUGGGAAUAUUUUUUUCUUUUUUAUUUUGUUGUUUUUUAUAUUUCUAAAUUUUUUCAGAAAUUAAUUCGUAGGGGCGGACCCGCCCCUACAAAUACCAUUUCUAGGGGCGGGUGAGGCGGGUGAUCCCCUCACCCGCCCCUAAAAAUAUAUUUUUAGGUCUAAAAAUGUAUUUUUAGGCCUGGAAAUGCAUUUUCAGUUAGGCCUGAAAAUGCAUUUGCAGGAGCGAGCGCGUUACCCGCUCAUGCAACUGAAAAAGUAGGAGCGGAUACCGCACCCCUACAAAUAGUGUUUACCCGCCUUAAAAAUCCUUUUUUUAGUAGUGAAUGUAAUUCUAAGGCAUUAGUUUUAGCAGAUGGUUACUCAAAACAUUCAUUCAACAAAGCAGCCUCGUACUGCCAAAAACAUUUCUGAACAGAGUUUGUUUUACUUUUGACUGGUGAACAGAGUUUCACCAUACAAGUAAAUAAAUGUUUAUUGCCACGAAAAGGAACGGCGAGAAUGUCGUACACCCGAAGAGAAAAUGCUGAAACUGUGUUGGACCAUGUUGAGUUGUGUUCCAAAUUUAGUUGCACAUAAAAUGCCGACUUGUGAUAGAGCGUAGCGGAGGUCCGUCGUCGGAUUAGGGUUUUUCCUUGAUGAUAAUCUUCUUGUAAGCCGCCGUACGGCGCUGUAACCCGACUCUUGAUAUAUUAAAGUUCCUGCUGGCUGGCGCUCGUGAUAUUUCCCUUCCGUAUUGGUUGGAUUUUUCACGUUAAAUCUCGUGUCCCCUUUCGGUUUGAUCUGUUUACUUUCAACGUUUAUAACAGACCAAAGAUUGCUUGGCACCUAUUAGGGGUUCCUGUGCGACUGUCCUUGGUACGGGGUGAGAACACACUCGAAGUGCUGCGCCAUCAAGACUUCUACCGUGUGCUUCUACGACUCCCGUGAAUGCGCGCCUGAUACGGUCGUUGUCCACACUCCCACUGUCAGAAAACGGAAACAAUUGCAUCUCUCGGAGGUUCAGCAGGUGCUCGACGCCGACUGGUGCAGUACCACUCCAUUCAGAGUCCAUGUAUGACAGAGUGAGCUUUUGAAGAUUUGGCAUGACCCCCGCCUCGAAGCGCAGGCGUGAGAAGAAAUCCCCGCCGCAGUAGAUCUUCAGGUGCUCCAGAGCUGGGAAUCCCCCGGGGCCAAAAGCAAUAGGAGCUUCGUCUUGAGGGCAGCUCUGCACCCACAGGUCGAGGUCAUUGAGUGAGGGCAGCGCACCGAGGACGCGGACCUCGGCGGUUGAUGUCUCCUUGACACUGAGUUUCAGGCGGAUAAGGCUUUGGAGACCGCCAUUGAUCCACCUUGGAGCUCUAGGCAGCAGCCAUCGUAUCAGUUCAAGUUUCUGAAUCUGAUGGAAGGGGGGACACGACAACGAGCCCAGUCUGUCGUUCACGUCAUGUGUCCAUUGUCCGACUGAACAAAUGAUGCACAAACUUCUGAGGUUACAGAGUUUCCCAAGUGAGGUCACCAAAGCAUCUAUCUCUAUCUCUGUCAGAACCUGACUGUUGUAGAGCUGAAGGUCCCUCAGAUUGAUAAGCACACCAAGGUCGUUGAUGUUCUGGACAUCCGAGACGUCGAAUCCUUCGAGAGUGCAUAGAGACUUCAUUCUGCCUAUGCCAUCAAGUAGCCUUGUAUACAGUGGCAGAAUCAGGUGGCGCAGCCGGGGCAACCGAGCAGUCUCUGACGGCAAUCUUAUUUCACUUGUGCAAAAUAUCUGAAAUAUUGCCAGAUGCUGCAGUCCUUGUAUUUCAGUAGGGAGCUCUAUUGCUCCAGCUGAAACAUUCAAAUACCUGAGCUGAAAUAACUGCCCAACUGUAGUCAGAUCGACCCUUUGAUUUUCCAAUGUCAGCACCCGGAGAUAUUUGGACAACAACAACACAGGUAGGGGUUCUCCAAACAGUUGAAGAGAUCGAACGUGUGACAGGGUAGUAGCAGUUGUCCCGGCUAUUGCGGUGUCUCCUUCAUCACCAAUUCUCGGGUCCAAUAACAGUCGACGGAUCUUGUAUUCAUUCUGACCUCUAAUUUCUCCUAGAUUGUAUGCCACACUGACAAAAUUAGCCUCCGUACAUGAACUUAGGAUGAAAUCAAGAAUUACAUCAUGUACUCUGCAAGAAACCACCUCCCCGUAGUUAGUGUUUGCAGGUUGAAUCAAGCCUCUGUUGAUAAGCUCACUGAAAUAACUCUGAGCAACGUCCUCCAAGUUUUGCCCAGGUGAAUGGUGGACAAAGCCUUCAGCUACCCAUUGUCUAAUCAAUUCACUCCUUUGGAUUUCAGAGUCCUCUGGAUAGAUACCAAGGUAAAGAAAGCAUGUCCUGAGAUGAUGAGGAAGAUCCUUGUAGCUUAGGUAUAAAAUUUGCCUCAUCCUUUCCCAGGUGGGGUUUGUGCCAGAUUCCUGUAUGCCUAUAGAAUCCCGAAUACCCUCCCAUUCUUCUCUUAGUGGUGAUGGUCGAUUAGCUAGUAGUCUAGCUACAAGAAUAAUUGCAAGUGGAAUUCCACUGCACUUGCUCAAGAUUUCAUCUGAAACUUCUCUAAAACGGGAAGUGCAAUGGUUUUCUGAGCCAAACAUGCUCCUGGAAAAUAAAAUUCUUGACUCAUGGUCGAUUAGAGGCUUCAUUCUGUAACUGAAGUGACCAUAGUGAUAGGAUGACUUGGAAGCCAGAUCUUCCUUUCGCGUGGUCAGAAUUACUAUGCAACCCAUACCAUUCUCAGGAAAAACAGACCAAAUUGUAUCCCAAGUUCGUGCAUCCCACAAAUCAUCAACAACAACAAUAUACCUGUUAAAUUGUUGGGAAAGAUAAGAUAGAAUAAGCAAACUCUAUUCAGUAAAAUGCAUGCACCUUUAUCUUAAGAAUAUAUAAUGAAGCUAUCAUUAUGAUUUAAGACAGGCUUAUAUGCUAAGCAAUUGCUAAUACCAAUCACUUUAGAUCUGUUGGACUUGAAUAGCAAAAAUCCAUGUAUGCAGUAUAACAUUCCAAGAAAUUACUAUGUAUAUUUGGGAAUAUGUAGCUAGGUAGACAGAUUAUGAGUAAACAUGUUCAUUUGACCUGAUACACCUAAACUUUCUUGGAGUAAAACGUGAGGUGCAUCAACAGGUGUUAUAUGUUCAUCAAAGGAAAGGACGCCUACAGCAGCCCAAAACAAGUCUUUUAGACUGUAGCUCUAUCACAUAAUUAAAGAUUAACACAUCAAACUUCUUAAAACUCUAAAACCAUACCAAAAUUUUUUCAAACACCACUAUCAUCAAACUUUAACACAUAUAGCCUACACAGUUGCAGCAAGCAAAAGUACUAGAAUUAAUAAAAUGCAUAGUGAAGUGUCCUGUUAGGCUGUAGAUGUUUCCUGAUGUCGUCAAUGAUGACUUUAACAUUGAAAUUUGAGGGAGAUUCCCUCAUCCCAAGUUCUGAUUGUAUACCAUGGAGAAGUCUUAUUAUAUCUGGUCUUUGGGAAACUGAGACAAAUGCCAUGACGUCAAACUGCCCUCCAAUUUUAUGAUACACCUCCUUGGCAAGUGUAGUUUUUCCUAGACCUCCAAAACCAACAAUUGAUAGUACCUUUAGUUGUUGAUCCGUAUCUGUUAAAAACUUUAUAAUGUCUUCCCUUGGGCCUUCAAUACCAACAAGAUUGGCUUCAUUACUGUAAAGUGCUGGCAAUCGACGGUCAACGGCCACAGAUCCAGAUAUAGAAACAUAAUCUCCAAAUUUGUACUGCUUAGGCUGUUCAUUUAUCUCCUUUAGAUGAGCCUUGAGCUCCUUGAUCUGCUUGGCAGUGUUAAGAUGAGCCCUCAGAUUCUUGAUAAAGAGAGAAACCUUAUCGAUGAAAACAGCACUUGCACCACCAAUUCCUGCACGGUGCAAGAAAUCAUCGACAAAAUCAUCAAUUUCAUAUCCCAUCUCCCUCAUCUGGUCCCUCCAAGCCUUCACAAGUGGACCAAGUUCAUCAGUGUCCUCCAGCUUCUCAAAGAGAGCAUUGAUGGCUCGGAGCUUAUCUCUUAGAAAUACCAUAUUGUUGGAGACACCUAUGAGGUUGGUGUUUACUUGUCCUCCAUCAUCUCAGUGAGCUUGUCUAGAAGGGGACCUAUCACCCCCUUGGAUGCGCUAAUCACGGCUGGCACCAUAGCUCGAUCGCCUCGGCCUUCCCCUCUGUACUGUUCUUUGCUCCUGCAAAUAAGGAAGUUGUUGGGACAUGAGAACCAAGUGGUAUUCAGAGCUUGCAGCUGGGUUUGAGCUUCGCUCACCGGCACUCCAAGCAGUUUUGGGGCCAAGGUCUGGUUGAUUAUGGGUCUGAGACUAGAUGUGAAAUGGCAGGAAGUAGAAUCAAUAACAAAAAAGAAAACAACUAGCAGGAGAGAUCUGACUGGGAGACCGUGUAUAAUUAAUUCAAGAAAGGAGAUGGGAACAUGAACACCAAAAAUCUUGUCAUCUCAUCGUCGAAUAGUACGGAAGCACCAGCCCGCAGAUCAGAUCUGCGUGUGCUCUCCACGUCCCUUCAUUCAAGAUACUCAGUGUCUAAAUCUAUCCAGCUAAAACCAAAAGAGCACAUAUGAAGUAGUCUCAAGUAGAGGAUCGGAACUUUGUGAACACCACGAGCACACACGCACUUUCUCUGUUUCUCUUAACUGCUUGACUUGCUCUUGCAAAUGAGCUACACCUGAGACUAGAGAGAGAGGCAGUGAGUUGAGACCUUAAGCUCUGUGUAUCAUCUUUGGCCUCUCCUACCUUUCUUUUCCCUGGAGCAUGACCCAAUCUUCUUAACAUGAUCUCGAAGGAUGCUCGUGCUUGCCAUGCGCAUACGGCACGGUAGAACAGAUGCAGUUUUCUCCACCGCAUGGGCCCACAAUGAAGAAAAGUUGAGAGCCGCAUGGUGGACUUUGUUGGAUUGGUGCGCUAACCAGUAACAAAAAUAUCUUUCUGCACUAAGAAAAACUUUCCGCCUUUGAAAUAUGGUCAGUUGUGCCGAACUCUCAGUGGCCCUUUGGCAGAGAUUCUUUAUCCGGUUUCUGUCCAGAAAGCAGAAAUGAGUGCAUCCCUGCGCAACCUUUGGUGCAUGGGUGUUUCGAAACAGAAACGCUAGGAUCAGUUCUCGUUUUUUGCCUACGAAUGAGAAACAGGUAAAAGCGGCUUCUCACUAGAAACAACCAUAUCUUUACUAUCUUCCAUUUUAGAAAAUUAGUUCCAUUAAUUGAACUAAAGAGGGCCGGUGAAUCCACACAGAAGAGCAAAGGCGGAAAUAGCUGCAGUUUUUUUUCCAUCGCACGGGUCCAUACGAAGAAAUCUGAAAGCCACUGGGGAUGACUGGUCGGUAGGUAGAUGGCUUUAAUUUAUGCUAGCUAGUAAAGAAAAUACUGCCACUGAUCAUACAUAAGUUCAAGUAGGUGCGUCAAACUCAAAAAAAUUUCUUAACUUUGACUAGCAAAACUAUAAAUAAUAUUACUUCCUCCGUUCUAAAUUAUAGAUAACUUUUUCCUUUACUCUUAGAUAUACAUUUUGUUUAUAUACAUAGUAAAAACUUAUAUUUAGAUAGUUUUCCUAGUUUAAUUUUAAGGAGCUUGUUCUCGCGACACUCCUCAAAAUCUUGUAAACUCUUCCCUCCUCUUAAUGAAAAAAGUUAUAUUUAGAAAAGUAAAAAAUAAACUAUAAUUUGAAACUAAGGAAUUAUAUGUAAUGAAUAAAUAAAAUUAUGUCCUAUGAAAGUUUUUUUUUUCUCCCAUCGCCACCGUUCCCUCCAUGACUAACCUUUUCAAUCUCCAAUGCCCAAGAAGCAAAUCUCUGAACUGUGGGACCAUUCUUAAUCAAUUUGACUAAAAAAAAAA
rnacentral:lncRNA from 1 species